rnacentral:misc_RNA from 1 species
UUUCUGUAGGUGAACCUGCAGAAGGAUCAUUAGUGAACUACUAGGGCGUCCUUUAACCGGGAGUCCGAACAUCACUUUUAAACACCACACCCCGUGAACAUGUAACCUGUUUUUUUAACCCUAUAAUUAAUGUAUUAGACAGUACACUGCGCAUGCAGUAAACAAACCAAUAAAACUUUCAACAACGGAUGUCUUGGCUCUCGCAUCGAUGAAGAACGCAGC